CCCCGUAUGGUCUAGAUGGAGACGACGGUUGUGGGUCACCUAACGGUUUCCUGCUUCAGACCUGGGUUCGAACCCCAGUACGGGGG